GGUCGGGUAGCGAGCAAAAUAUACAACACCUUUUGAAGGGAAAAUUGCUGGCCGUCUCGUUGCGGUGUUCAAGUGCCCGACCCCCCGUCU
rnacentral:ncRNA from 1 species